rnacentral:rRNA from 1 species
UACGUAGGGUGCAAGCGUUGUCCGGAAUCAUUGGGCGUAAAGCGCGCGUAGGUGGCCAUUUAAGUCCGCUGUGAAAGUCAAAGGCUCAACCUUUGAAAGCCGGUGGAUACUGGAUGGCUAGAGUACGGAAGAGGCGAGUGGAAUUCCUGGUGUAGCGGUGGAAUGCGCAGAUAUCAGGAGGAACACCAAUAGCGAAGGCAGCUCGCUGGGACGUUACUGACACUGAGGCGCGAAAGCGUGGGGAGCGAACAGGG